rnacentral:rRNA from 1 species
UACGGAGGGGGCUAGCGUUGUUCGGAAUUAUUGGGCGUAAAGGGCGCGUAGGCGGCCCGGCAAGUCAGUGGUGAAAGCCCUCGGCUCAACCGAGGAAUUGCCAUUGAAACUGCCGGGCUCGAGUCCUGGAGAGGGUAGCGGAAUUCCCAGUGUAGCGGUGAAAUGCGUAGAUAUUGGGAGGAACACCCGUGGCGAAGGCGGCUACCUGGACAGGUACUGACGCUGAGGCGCGAAAGCGUGGGGAGCAAACAGG